rnacentral:rRNA from 1 species
UAGGGAAUAUUAGAAAUGGACGAAAGUCUGAUCUAGCAACACCGCGUGUGCGAAGAAGGCCUUCGGGUCGUAAAGCACUUUUUGGAAGGAAUAGGAAGGAAUGUACUUCCAGAAUAAGCCUCGGCUAACUACGUGCCAGCAGCCGCGGUAACACGUAGGAGGCGAGCGUUAUUCGGAUUUACUGGGCGUAAAGCGCGUGCAGGCGGCUCGAUAAGUUGGAUGUGAAAGCUCCCGGCUUAACUGGGAGAGGUCGUUCAAUACUGUCGGGCUAGAGGAUGAGAGAGGGAGGUGGAAUUCCGGGUGUAGCGGUGGAAUGCGCAGAUAUCCGGAGGAACACCAGUGGCGAAAGCGGCCUCCUGGACCAUUCCUGACACUCAGACGCGAAAGCUAGGGUAGCAAACG